AACGUAGGUGGCGGGCGUAUCCGGAUUUACUGGGCGUAAAGGGUGUGCAGGCGGGCUGUUAAGUGGUGUAUGAAAUAUCCCGGCUCAACCGGGAGAGGUUAUGCCAGACUGGCAGUCUAGAGAGCGAGAGAGGGACGUGGAAUUCCGGGUGUAGUGGUGAAAUGCGUAGAGAUCCGGAGGAACCCCAGAGGCGAAGGCGGCGUCCUGGCUCGCAUCUGACGCUCAGACACGACAGCAUGGGGAGCGAACGGG
rnacentral:rRNA from 1 species